rnacentral:lncRNA from 1 species
CUGUAGUAUAGUUUGAAGUCUGGUAUCGCUAUACCGCCUGAUUCACACUUCUUGCUUAGCAUUGUUUUUGCUAUUCUGGGUCUUUUAUUUUUCCAUAUGAAUUUCAUGAUUGCUAAAGCUGACUUUUAAAAUCAAAACAGUAUCUUCCUGGACAGAUUUAAUAAUGCAUUCAAGCAGGCAUUUUGCCAAAUUCCUUUGAGACUGCAUUAAAUAGAAAGAUAUUUUAAACAUUCAUUUUGAUAAAUGGUACAUAGGUAAUGACCUUGUGCAAUCCACAGAGGCUCGUAUACAAUAAAAGCAUUGACUAAGAGAGAAUUUAUUAUAGUGAGAUGGAAUUAGAUUUUGGUACAUUGGAUAUUUAGUUAUUUUCCUCUGUUUUUUUUACUUCAAUUUUAGAGAGGUUUUGUUCUGAUUAUGAAAUCAAUACAUGUUCACUGUAAAAUAAUUAGAAAAUAAGAAGAAAAUAUAAAGUUGAAAACAUUUUUGGUUUAGAUAAUUUUAGAUAAAAAUGUAUUUAUAUGUAUUUAUUUUGUUUAUUUAAAUCUUAUUAUUAUAAGAUUAAAAUUAAACAGUACACACAGAUGUCUAAUUUAACAUUUAUAUCGCAUUUAUUUAAUAGAAGUAUAAAUCAUAUGUAACAAAAUUUAUUUCUCUAGCUCUCUAGAGUUAGAUAUUUAUGUAGUUUCCUUGUGGUUUCUAUUAUAAGUGAUUCUUUGAUGAACAUUUGUGCACUUAAGUCUUGCUAGCUCUUUUUUAAUUAUAAAAAUAUUUAAGCAAAUUGUAAUAUGAUUAUAAAUCAUGUCAAAUUCCUAAGAACAGAGCUUGGAUAAGAAACUAGAAGAACUGUUAAAUACUCUAGCCAAAUAGUCUAAAAAUUUUCUUCAUAAAAUUUGUUCCAGUGCUUACUCACAUGAUCAUCUUAGGAUAAUCUCUUUCCUGCACAUUAAUCAAUUUUGGUAAUUUAUCAUUUUAUAAUCCAUGCAUUUCUAUGGGAGAACAAAUUUACUAAUAAUAUUAUAUUGUGCAAGUCUUAUUUUAAUAAGCCUUUUUCCUCCAAAGUCAUAUUUAUAUUUCUAAUCUGUAGGGAAAUAUGUUCAUCAGGAAAUGAGGAGUGCAUCUCUUCCUUUAUGGUAUCAUCCCUGGUUUUUCUCUUAAAUACACUGACUUUCUCUUACUAAUUGCUCACAGGGUCUUGAAUAUACCAUGGUUGCUGGUACCUCUAGGACUUUGGGCAGUUUCCUGUUCUCCUGGCUCUCUUCUCCCUCCUGGCUCUAGCUUCCUCCUACUCACUCAUCGUCUAAGGCAUCUUUCCUGGUCAUCCCUUGGUUUUUGGUUCUUGGUUCUUAAACACAGCUCUAAAAUAAUAUCUUCCUCUCUACCAGAGAUUGUCCAAUUUAUUGUGUUCUUGAUUAAACUGUGAAAUCCUCAUGACUCAGAUUUUAUUUGAAUAUAAUAGGAAAGUACCCAACACAAGCCUGGCUUUCAACAAAUGUUGGCUGGGUCACUUAUGUAUUACGU